CAGGAUGCCAUUGACCUUAUCCUUGGAAACUACGUCGUGGAAAAAAUGAGGGAAUUUCUCGACCUUCUCCUCUGCAGGCAGAGAGAGAUUGGAAGUUUUAUGCUGUACCUGUGAUAUUUGUGAUUGCUCUGGGAAUGUGUUUAAUCAGUAUAUUGUUGCCAGAUGAAUCCUGGACUGAACAGUUCAUGUACAUUUUGUUCUGGGGCUCGGCCAGUUUUGUAUCAUUAGCCGUGAUUUACAUCUACGGAAUCGAAUUUGUGGACCAACCAAAACUUGUUCAUACGCAUGCCAGAGUGAAUGGUGCUGUUAUGUAUGAUACUCCCAAAACAGCUUAAUACUGAGGGAUCUUUAUUCAUCAGAAAGGAAAAAACAUAGUAAAGACCCAGCAUAGCAUAUCUUUCUAACAGAGUGGAAUUAUGUGCAUUACGAAAAUUUAGUUUCUCAAAUUUUCAAGUGUUGUU